rnacentral:sRNA from 1 species
UACAUUCAUCAUCAAUCAUUCCUUGCCG